UGAAAUACUGGUUCCCGUAUGAUCACCAAAGAUAAGCAAUGUUGAGCCUGGUCAGUAUUUAAAUGGGUGAUCACUUGGGAAUGCCAGAU